UACGUAGGGUGCAAGCGUUGUCCGGAAUUAUUGGGCGUAAAGAGCUCGUAGGCGGUCUGUCGCGUCGGCUGUGAAAACUCGGGGCUUAACCCCGGGCCUGCAGUGGGUACGGGCAGACUAGAGUGCGGUAGGGGGAGACUGGAAUUCCUGGUGUAGCGGUGAAAUGCGCGAUAUCAGGAGGAACACCGGUGGCGAAGGCGGCUCACUGGACCGAGACUGACGUGAGGCGCGAAAGCGUGGGGGAGCAAACAGG
rnacentral:rRNA from 1 species